rnacentral:rRNA from 1 species
UACGGAGGGUGCAAGCGUUGUCCGGAAUCACUGGGCGUAAAGGGCUCGUAGGUGGCCAACUAAGUCAGACGUGAAAUCCCUCGGCUUAACCGGGGAACUGCGUCUGAUACUGGAUGGCUUGAGUUCGGGAGAGGGAUGCGGAAUUCCAGGUGUAGCGGUGAAAUGCGUAGAUAUCUGGAGGAACACCGGUGGCGAAGGCGGCAUCCUGGACCGAUAUUGACGCUGAUGCGCGAAAGCCAGGGGAGCAAACGGG